CUACAAUGUACGUGUUUCCGGAGGUCAGGACGUCGGCCGCCUCUCCCACCCAGCAGUUUUACCAGGCACCAUCAAGGUGCACAAGAUAGUGCCAAUUUAACCUCCAAUUUUCUCCUCUACUUGUUCCUAGGACAGGCGAGUUACUUUUGAAAUCGUUGGUGAAGUUGGUAGGCAUAAAAGUCUGCUUAAAUCAGCAGUUGAGCCCAGAGCUCAUGUAAAUUAUGACCAGUCACCAUGUGGCUCAAGCCCCACCCACCAAAC